AUUGAACGCUGGCGGCAGGCCUAACACAUGCAAGUCGAGCGGAUGAAGGGAGCUUGCUCCUGGAUUCAGCGGCGGACGGGUGAGUAAUGCCUAGGAAUCUGCCUGGUAGUGGGGGAUAACGUCCGGAAACGGGCGCUAAUACCGCAUACGUCCUGAGGGAGAAAGUGGGGGAUCUUCGGACCUCACGCUAUCAGAUGAGCCUAGGUCGGAUUAGCUAGUUGGUGGGGUAAAGGCCUACCAAGGCGACGAUCCGUAACUGGUCUGAGAGGAUGAUCAGUCACACUGGAACUGAGACACGGUCCAGACUCCUACGGGAGGCAGCAGUGGGGAAUAUUGGACAAUGGGCGAAAGCCUGAUCCAGCCAUGCCGCGUGUGUGAAGAAGGUCUUCGGAUUGUAAAGCUCUUUAAGUUGGGAGGAAGGGCAGUAAGUUAAUACCUUGCUGUUUUGACGGUACCAAAAGAAUAAGCACCGGCUAACUUCGUG
rnacentral:rRNA from 1 species